rnacentral:rRNA from 1 species
UACGAAGGGGGCUAGCGUUGCUCGGAAUUACUGGGCGUAAAGCGCACGUAGGCGGAUUUGUAAGUCAGGGGUGAAAUCCCGGGGCUCAACCCCGGAACUGCCUUUGAUACUGGGUAUCUCGAGUCCGAGAGAGGUGAGUGGAAUUCCGAGUGUAGAGGUGAAAUUCGUAGAUAUUCGGAGGAACACCAGUGGCGAAGGCGGCUCACUGGCUCGGUACUGACGCUGAGGUGCGAAAGCGUGGGGAGCAAACAGG